rnacentral:rRNA from 1 species
UUAUAAGAGACAGCAGCCGCCGCGGGAAUACAGAGGGUGCGAGCGUUAAUCGGAUUUACUGGGCGUAAAGCGUGCGUAGGCGGCUUCUUAAGUCGGAUGUGAAAUCCCUGAGCUUAACUUAGGAAUUGCAUUCGAUACUGGGAAGCUAGAGUAUGGGAGAGGAUGGUAGAAUUCCAGGUGUAGCGGUGAAAUGCGUAGAGAUCUGGAGGAAUACCGAUGGCGAAGGCAGCCAUCUGGCCUAAUACUGACGCUGAGGUACGAAAGCAUGGGGAGCAAACAGGAUUAGAUACCCCGGUAGUCCCUGUCUCUUAUAC